rnacentral:rRNA from 1 species
GAUGAACGCUGACAGAAUGCUUAACACAUGCAAGUCUUUGGCGAAGCUGUGCUUGCACAGCCUAGCCAAGGCGGACGGGUGAGUAACGCGUAAGGAACUUGCCCUGCAGUCAGGGAUAACAGACGGAAACGACUGAUAAGACCUGGUAAAGUCAGGCGGACUCAUGUCCAGCCUGAUGAAAAGAGAUGCUGCAGGAGAGCCUUGCGUCCUAUUAGCUUGUUGGUGGGGUAACGGCCCACCAAGGCGAUGAUAGGUAGCCGGCCUGAGAGGGUGGACGGCCACAAGGGGACUGAGAUACGGCGCUGACUCCUACGGGAGGGAGCAGUGGGGAAUAUUGGACAAUGGGGGCAACCCUGAUCCAGCAAUUCUGUGUGCACGAUGAAGGUUUUCGGAUUGUAAAGCGCUUUCAGCAGGGAAGAAAAAAAUGACGGUACCUGCAGAAGAAGCGACGGCUAAAUACGUG